rfam:Arabis alpina cultivar Pajares scaff_53995_1_contig_1, whole genome shotgun sequence.
AUCCCAUGGUGAGGAAAAGCUCUUGUAUAACAUUUCAUAUGCUCCCACGCGUCAUACAUACUAUCUUCUUCGCCUUGUUCAAAUCUAGCUAUAUCGUUCCUUAUCUU